rnacentral:lncRNA from 1 species
AUGCUUUCGACCAAAAUGUUGCAAAAAUCAUUUGUAGUAAAUGUAAUCGGUAUUUUUAUGGCACAAAAUGUUAUGAUAAUCACUUUAAUAAGUAUAAUAAAAAAAACGGUCUGUGAAGCGAUAAAUCAAUGCAUUUUUUGUUUAAAAUCUUGCAAUACCAUCAAAAGGAAAAAAACCCUACUUUUGCGGGGAACAUUUUGUACCAUUUGUCAUGAUCAUGUUGCACCGGAUCAUUUGUGUUUCAUGCAGCCUCUAAAGGAAAAGGCUCCUAGAAGGUUGUAAUUAGCUGCUGGCAUGCGAUCUAUUUUUCCGAGGGAGAGUUCCGAGAAGCUCACCCGAAAGUUGUGAAUCCGGUAGAUAUGUUGUAGAAUCCGGUAGAAAUGUUGUAGAAUCCGGUAGAAAUGUUGUAGAAUCCGAUAGAAAUGUUGUAGAAUCCGGUAGAAAUGUGAAGAAUUCUGAAGAAAUCACGUAGCAUCCGGUAGAAAUCCAUCCUGCCCGCAUGUGACAGCCGUGACCGAUGUUAUGAUGUGACCGUACCCGUACAUGAGUCAUGGGCUCGCGACAGAGGAAAAGGUGAAACCGCGAAACGAUGAGACCGACUGAGUUGCGGUUGGCCGCGAGAUUUUGCACGAUGUGACCGAAUGUGACAGCCGCUCCUGUCACACGAAACCGAGCGAGUACGGGGUCUUUUUUAAAGGUUGUUCUUCUUUAACACUGCAGGAUACGGCAGUUAAAAUAUACAGACUAGUCAUCACAAAACGAUGAGACUGAAAGAGUAACAAAAUGCCACGAUUACACUCAUGAUGUGACAGCCCUCUUGACACAUGAAAGGAGGUUUUUCGAAGGUAGUCCCCGCGUAACGGCAGUUAACGCACAGACUGGUAAUCAGAAAAUGACGAGGCCAAGAGAGUUAAAUGACACAUUUACACACAUGAUGUGAUCGAACUUGAAUUGAAAGGUUUACAAACUUGGUCUCUUGUAGAUACGAUCAGUCAAGAGGGUAGAUCGCGGAACUGAACGAAAAGACCGAAAGAGUGUCAGAUUGCCAAGACGUCGCACUUUUGGUGACCGAAUGUGAGUAGAGGGGCUAGCGAAGUCGGUCCCGGGUAAAAUCCGACCGGUCCAAACGGCAGAACACUGCAGAACGACGCGCCCGAAAAAAGUACAAAAUGCCAAAAUGUCGCACAUGCUGUGACCGAAGUUCCUUGAGUUACGGUUGGUUGGGACAAGACAACGCAGAACAGAGAACGCGGAACUAUGAGGCUGGAGAAGUCCACGGAGAUUCGAUGGUGUCGCACUAGGAAGGAUUUGACCGAAUGUGAGUGAAGAACUUCGAGGGUUGAACAAAACGCAGGAGCACAGGGUAGGAGCCACGAACUGAUGUGACCGAAAGGGUUGCACACCCCGCGUGAGUGCGGCGACGAGCGGUGACCGCUCACCUCGACCGGGGUCAAUCGAAUGCCACCUCCGUCGGCGACGGAAUCGAAGUCGAGUCGGGCGACUGAUUCUGAGGUGAUUAGCUACGUCACAGCUCGGGAAUAUCUGAUUGGACUUUCCCUCCGCUGGGAAAUACGGAGCGUUGUGGAAAUUACCCGGUGCAUACGCACAUCGCAGGUCGGCGCCGUAGUGACGUGUGCAUGUCGAGCUGUAUCGCUUUGAGAAAAUGGUCAAAGUGCCAUUAAAAUCCUAAAAUUGGUAAAAAAUUUGAGCUUCCGAAACCACUCAGUUGCAUAAAUCUGAUUUAUACAAGUGAGUGGUUUCAAGUAUUUAAAUGUUGUACCAAUUUUAACGUUACUUGUGUAGUAGCUCAAACUCCUUAAAAUUUUCAUCUCAUAAAAAUCUUGUUUGUAUUUGUUGAGAUUCAAUAUUUUUGGGGGUUUGUGAAGACAUAGGAUUUUAUGCCUUAUUCACAGUCGUUCCUUACACAUUUCCUUGCCUAAGGUGGCCCCAUUUUGUUCGCGUCGUGAUUAAGACCUUUUACUCGAGUAGACGACCACAAUGAAAACAUUGAAAUAAAAUUGCGAUUUAAUGCAUUAAAAUUGAAUUUUUUUUACCUGGAAAUUGCAAUAUUUUUACAUCCCUCGGUCAAUAAAUGCCGAUUUUAAGCGAUCAACAAAGUAAGCUCCAUGUGCCGGAAAGCAUUUUAAAUUCUCUCGUAUCUGAGUAACACCUCACUGUCAGCAUAGAAAAGAGCAUUGCGAGUUCACGCAUAGCGCCAUCCCUUGUAGCAGAACCAUAGAAGGAAAAGCUAAAGAUUAUGUUCGAAAGUUAAUUUUUUUUAUAUAAUGCAUGCAUACGAAAGUGUUAAAAGUGAACAUUUUUAUGUAACCAUUAUAUAAAAAAGUCAUAAUUUUCGUGAGCUUUUCGCAUAAAU